rnacentral:rRNA from 1 species
UGAGCUCAAAUCAGGUAGGA